UACUGCCAGACUUGGAACCGGGAGAGGUAAGAGGUACUACAGGGGUAGGAGUGAAAUCUUGUAAUCCCUGUGGGACCACCUGUGGCGAAGGCGUCUUACCAGAACGGGUUCGACGGUGAGGGACGAAAGCUGGGGGCACGAACCGGAUUAGAUACCCGGGUAGUCCCAGCCGUAAACGAUGCUCGCUAGGUGCCAGGCAUGGCGCGACCGUGUCUGGUGCCGCAGGGAAGCCGUGAAGCGAGCCACCUGGGAAGUACGGCCGCAAGGCUGAAACUUAAAGGAAUUGGCGGGGGAGCACAACAACGGGUGGAGCCCUGCGGUUUAAUUGGACUCAACGCCGGACAACUCACCGGGGGCGACAGCAAUAUGUAGGCCAAGCUGAAGACUUUGCCUGAAUCGCUGAGUAGAGGUGCAUGG
rnacentral:rRNA from 1 species